CCCCAUUUGGGGUCAGCUUUCGCUUACGGCCAUACCACUCUGAAAAAGCCUGAUCUCAUCUGACCUCGGAAGCAAAGCAGAGUUGGGCCUGGUUAGUACUUGGUUGGGAGACUGAAUGGGAAUACUAGGUGCUGUAAGCUUUUUAUUUGGAUCAGUGUUUUCAUGGCCUCUGCACAACAUCCUGUUUUGGGAUAAAGGUUGGACACAGGUUUGAAGGGGACCCAAUCAAUCAAUCAGGGACCCAAUCAAUCAAUCAAUCAGUCAGUCAGUCAGUCAGUCAGUCAGUCAGUCUUUUGAUUACACUAUUUAAAUAGCCCCAUUUGGGGUCAGCUUUCGCUUACGGCCAUACCACUCUGAAAAAGCCUGAUCUCAUCUGACCUCGGAAGCAAAGCAGAGUUGGGCCUGGUUAGUACUUGGUUGGGAGACUGAAUGGGAAUACUAGGUGCUGUAAGCUUUUUAUUUGGAUCAGUGUUUUCAUGGCCUCUGCACAACAUCCUGUUUUGGGAUAAAGGUUGGACACAGGUUUGAAGGGGACCCAAUCAAUCAAUCAAUCAGUCAG
ensembl:lncRNA